rnacentral:lncRNA from 1 species
UGUGCUAACAUUGAUUGAUGAGAUAUGGAUGAGUCGUACAUGUCACUAUAGGUGACUCCAACUUAUAUGCUAACAUUGAUUUAUUGAGCACAUGAUUAUUUAUAUUGCUCAUGAGAUGUUGUGUCGUGAUAUAUUUAUGGAUUUACUAUUGAUAUACUUUUGAUUUUACAUUGACACGUGGUAUGGUUUUUUGUUUUUUUGUUUUUAAACUAUACAAGUGUUACAGUGAGGGGUUAUAACGAUUUAGAAGGUUUUUAUUAAAAUUUUAUUUCCAGGGCCACUCACCCUUGCUUGGUUUCCACCCUCCAGUUUUUUCAGUUGAGCUCUCUUAUCGACGAGGAUUCGGGGCAAAUUUUGGUAUUGGAGAUUAUCUUCAAUGGUAUGAUUCUCAAUCCACUCUACUGUACUUUACUUAUGCUCUAGCAUCACGUGUGAAAUGGGUUCAUUUCCGCUCAUAGCGCACUUUCGUAUUUAGACACUUUUAGAUUUAAAUUUAUUCACAUUUGCCCACAUCACUAUACUUUAUGGUUUCGUCACCCUCUUGGUGUCGGCCAACACAACUCGAUUUGGAGUCCAAGUGGACUUUCUGGGUCGGGGUGUGUCACUUUGACCUUCCCAGGUAAGGGUCUCUUAUUUUUCUUUAUGUUUUUUAGGCUUGUUUUUUUGUAUGCCCUUGGAACUCAAAAUUAGUCCCCAUUCCCCUAAAACAAAAAUAUCGCCAGUUUGCAAUUGAAACUCAAUAUUCAUUCCACUUUGCCUAUUUUUUGUCCAUUUCGUAAAAAAUGCUGACGAGGAAGGAAUUUUGCUUAUGUGGCUGUCCAAUUGCCAUAAACAAAAAUGGUAAUUAUGUCAAAUCAUCGAGUCUCCUUCCUUCUUGAAGGAACCUACAAAUCUGACACCUAAAUAUGGGCUCGUUUGGUAGUGCUUUUGAAAGAGUAAAAAACGCUUCCUAAUGAGUAAAAGUGCUAUAGUUUAAAAAAAUGGUCGUUUGGCAAAUAUUUUAAAAGUGCUUUUAGUUAGAAGUAGAAGCUCUAAUAAGCAUUUUCUAAGAAGCACCUAGGAGGUGCUUCCUCCUAAAAGUCCGUCGCAGAGAAAACAAGGGAAGCACUUUGCUCCCUUUAAUGAAUUUUUUUCAAUUCCCGAAUUAUCCCUAUUUUUUAAUUUGCAAAGUUUAAAAUGCCAUUACACUUGAAAAAAUAUCAAAGUUGUCAUCACCAAUUUUUUGUAGGUUUGCACGUUAAAAACCCAAAAGUCUUUUUAUUUUCAUAUAAUUUUGGUGGCUGGAGAAGUCAUCUUGGUCUCCAUCUCUUCCUCUCCAUCUUCCCCAAAUCUCUUUGCAUCUCCAUCGCCUGAAAUUCUUGUGGAGGUAUGUUAGCUAUUUCUUAUCUUAAAAUUUGUAUGUAGUGUGUGAAUUUGAUUGUUGAUAUUAUUUUUAUCAAAAUUGUUGUGAAUUUUGAACUACACGAAUUCAUUGACAUUCCAACGGUAUUUUCUGCAUUUUUCAGAAUAACUCUAGGUACGGGCGGGUCAUCUAGUUUUGGUAGGUAUCAUUGUGAACAUAUAUUUACAACUUAGUGUGCUUCGAAAAUUAAUUUGUAAAUACUACAUGAAAAUUAAUUUGUAAAUACUACAUGCAUUUGAGCAAGUCAAAUAUUUCUAAUCAAAUUACUCAAAGGCCUUCAUGUUUGAAGGCUUGUAUUGUUGUCGAGAUUUGAUGCC